rnacentral:other from 1 species
UGUCACCUGCGGUGUUCGAAUUGUUCUGAAUACCCUUAGAACCUAAAUCACAAACUGGGGACCGAAAUCGGGUAUGUUGUUGUGCAGGUCCGCCAAGCGGAAAGCCUGAUACAUUCCGUUGGCCCCCACUUGAACCUUCCGGUUCAAGGAUCAGGGACAGUUUCGGCACAUGCGGGUGACAC